AGAGUAGAGACAGUCACUCCUGUGCGGCUAUUCAAACGGGAGGCGCUCCACCAAAGAGACACAAUCGUCUCUUCUAAACCAUCAACUAACGAGCAAAAUUCUUCCCUUCUCUUCUCUGCAGAAACCACGAUCAAAGAGAACCCAUCUCUCUCUCUCCCUCUCUCGGUCCCAUAUUCCAGGAAGACCCAAGGAUGCCUUUAUCUUGGGUCGCAGCUGUACUGAUGCUGUCUGUCCUAAGACAGAGCAAUGGAGAACCAGUCACCCAAACCAAAGGCAACGUCGUGAUCUCCCAAGGAGAAUCUGUGGUUGUUAACUGCACCUAUGAGGCUGUUUCUCCCUAUCUCUUCUGGUACGUGCAGUUCCCCAGCCAGCCCCCCAGGCUCUUCCUGAGGGACCUGGGACGGGAAAACUCGGAUGAAGGGAUCAGAAAAGGGUUCGAUGCCGCUCACGAUAAAAACCACAAAUCCUUCCACCUGUGGAAACCGUCCAGCGAACUGAGCGACUCCGCGACCUACUACUGCGCCCUGAGAGACACAGUGACACGAAACAGCAGGGGAGCUGCGCAAAAACCUCCCGGGGGCUGUGGCAGGAACCGCAGGCUCCUAGGAGUGACUCGGGGUGGAAGGAGGAGGAAUUCUGCAAUUACUGGACUCUGUCUCUCACGAGACCAGCACACAACCGCCUCCCCGCUACUCAGUCCUCCAGUCUGCAUCGCCUCUUUCUGCUCCAGCCCAGGAUUUUAGGACUUGUCAUAGAGCAAAAUUCACCAUCAACUCAGGAAAAAGGGAACAAAUGA